GCCGGCAUGUCGGAAUGGCAGACGAUGCAGACUCAAAAUCUGUUGCUCGAAAGGGCGUGCGGGUUCAAGUCCCGCUGCCGGCA
rnacentral:tRNA from 1 species